AUUGAACGCUGGCGGCAGGCCUAACACAUGCAAGUCGAGCGGAAGAACGGUGCUUGCUCUUGGCUUCAGCGGAAGACGGGUGUGUCACGCCUAGGAAUCUGCCUGCUAGCGGGGGAUAACGUCCGGAAACGGGCGCUAUUCCCGCAUACGUCCUGCGGGAGAAUGUGGGGGAUCUUCGGACCUCACGCUAUCAGAUGCGCUUAGGUGGGCUUGGCUAGUUGGUGGGGUAAAGGCCUACCAAGGCGACGAUCCGUAACUGGUCUGAGAGGAUGAUGAGGCACACUGGGACUGAGACACGGUCCAGACACUUAGGGGAGGCAGCAGUGGGUAAUAGUGGACGAUGGGCGAAAGCCUGAUCCAGCCAUGCCGGGUGUGUGAAGAAGGUCUGCGGAGUGGAAAACACUUUAAGUGUGGAGGAAGGGCAGUAAGUUAAAACAUUGCUUUUGUGACGUUACCAACAGAAGAAGCACCGGCUAACUACGUG
rnacentral:rRNA from 1 species